rnacentral:rRNA from 1 species
UCCUGGCUCAGAACGAACGCUGGCGGCAGGCCUAACACAUGCAAGUCGAGCGAGAUCUUCGGAUCUAGCGGCGGACGGGUGAGUAACGCGUGGGAAUAUGCCCUUCUCUACGGAAUAGCCUCGGGAAACUGGGAGUAAUACCGUAUACGCCCUAUGGGGGAAAGAUUUAUCGGAGAAGGAUUAGCCCGCGUUGGAUUAGGUAGUUGGUGGGGUAAUGGCCUACCAAGCCUACGAUCCAUAGCUGG